rnacentral:lncRNA from 1 species
AAGCAAGGUUUAGGCCUUAAUUUGGCUGUUGCCGUAUCAGAAUCAGGGCCUCAGAAAAAAUAAACUGUGGGGCUUACGGUAAGUGUCACUCUUUGGUGAAGCCACCGCAAAGCUUCCCAAGCGCCGCCCUCGAACCCAGGCUGGCUUCCCACUAAGAACAUGGCUGUCCCACCGCCCUCAGAUUGGUAAGAGGUAAUGGGAAAGGGAAUUGCGGGCCAAGAGUUUGGGGAAGUGUAAAGGUUCAGCCCGUGACCAUCGUCUUCCUUCACCUUUCGCAGGCCUGAGAACUGCUUUUAUUAAUAAAUCUCUGGAAACUGAGAUAAAAUUCGCGCAAGAGAAUAACAACAUACUUCGAAAUUUAUAUUGAAAUGAAAUCACCAAAAACGCUGGAAGAAGACUCUUGUUGAGAUUUGCUGCAAUGAAUAUGAGCUCCUGCCUGAUCAAACAACCUCUCAAACCUUAGC